GGGAUUACCUCAGUAACGGCGAGUGAAGCGGUAACAGCUCAAAUUUGAAAUCUGGCUCUUUCAGGGUCCGAGUUGUAAUUUGUAGACGAUGCUUUGGGUGUGGUGCCGGUCUAAGUUCCUUGGAACAGGACGUCAUAGAGGGUGAGAAUCCCGUAUGUGAUCGGUCGCCUUCGCCCGUGUAAAGCUCGUUCGACGAGUCGAGUUGUUUGGGAAUGCAGCUCAAAAUGGGUGGUAAAUUUCAUCUAAAGCUAAAUAUUGGCCAGAGACCGAUAGCGCACAAGUAGAGUGAUCGAAAGAUGAAAAGCACUUUGGAAAGAGAGUUAAACAGUACGUGAAAUUGUUGAAAGGGAAGCGCUUGCAACCAGACUUGGGCUGUCGCAAUCAUCCGGGGCUCGCCCCGGUGCACUUGUGGCGGCACAGGCCAGCAUCAGUUUCGGUGGUGGGAUAAAGGCCUUGGGAAUGUAGCUUCUUUCGGGGAGUGUUAUAGCCCUCGGUGCAAUGCCGCCUACCGGGACUGAGGAACGCGCUUCGGCGAGGAUGCUGGCGUAAUGGUUGUAAGCGACCCGUCUUGAAACACGGACCAAGGAGUCUAACAUCUAUGCGAGUGUUUGGGUGUCAAACCCAUACGCGUAAUGAAAGUGAACGGAGGUGAGAACCCGUUAGGGUGCAUCAUCGACCGAUCCUGAUGUCUUCGGAUGGAUUUGAGUAAGAGCAUAGCUGUUGGGACCCGAAGAUGGUGAACUAUGCCUAAAUAGGGUGAAACCAGAGAAACUCUGGUGGAGCUCGCAGCGGUUCUGACGUGCAAUCGAUCGUCAAAUUUGGGUAUAGGGGCAAAGACUAUCGAACA
rnacentral:rRNA from 1 species